CAAACCCGUCUUCAGACACCACCUUCCCGGUAUUUUUGUCGCUGAAAUUAUUCCCCAGUUUCACCAUUUUCUCUGCAGCAAAAAAAAACCCGACCUGAGGGGGGUAAACAUCAGCACAAUCCCACGGAACGACGAGAGGCCCCUUGUGGCCCAAGAGGAAGCCCGUUAACACACAAAAGCGCAGGAGAGGACGCGCGCGGCUUCGACAUAAAGGGACCGAUGUGUAACCGCGAGCCGGAAUAGAUCUGAUUUCCCGCAUCCGAAUACUUACCAGCUCAGCAGAGAAGCGUUUUGGAAAACAGCGUGUUUCUCCUGGUGUGCUGAAUAUGUUGUCCAGUGCAGCGAUAUAUUUUUUGUGUUGUAGGUGUGACGCAGCCGAUUUGCGGGGAUCUGGUGCACAAUAUGGCCAGCUGGCUGUUACCUCCGAGCUGGAUGCUGCUGCUGGCGUCUGGCUGCACUGCAAGUGAUGUAACAUCCUCAGCGCGUCCAUCCAGCCACACGCCUCUGAUCCGCUGAAUAAUCACUGAAUGCGAUUAACACUCAUGUUCCAAAUGUAUAGAAUGCUUUAUUAUUAUUAUUAUUAUUAUAAUUAGAGGAAUUCGAGUUACCCUAAAACCAAUAGAGGGCUGGAGGGAUGUUUAUCGACAAUUGAGAGUCAGUAGGGUUCAUUAGGAAGUGUCUCCUAUAAAAUACAUACUUUCAUACAAAUAAUGAUGAUGAUACUUAAAAUGAAACUUGGCAUUAAAUCUAAAAUGAAAUGAAUGAAACAUGUAUUGCUCUCUCUUUAUACUCUGUACAGGAGGAACACAGAUCUAUAUAUUUCGGGGGGUGGGGGUGGGGGUUGUGGUGGAGGCAGCAGGUCUAUGAGCCAAGAUGGUAUUUUCUGUAGUUGUUUACAUUUGAAUGCAAAAUCUGUUCAGCUGUUAAAAUGAAGGUAAACAAACAACCCAGCUGUCACAUGAUGUGAUUUCAUCUUUCUCUAAGGCAUCAAUACAUAUAAUCUCAUUAUAAUCUCAUGUAUGUUCAGUGCUCAUUUGAAUGUUUUUAGAAAUAUGUUUUAAAAUAAAUUGAUCUGGACAUGUGCAGGA